GCAAUGUAGGAGAUGUAAGGUCCUCUUUAGUUCUUUCAAAGUUUCCUGGAUUUGAAAAAUAAUCCCUCAGACGUGGGACUUCCCUUCCCAGCUCGGUCAAUUCCGUAUGCAGUUCUAGGGCCGUUAACAGUAAAUUUUCUUUCAGAAGUCUAGCUGCUAAAGAAUCUAAGGUCAUUUCCGUCGAUUCAUCAGAUUUUGGAGACUGUGCGAUGGUAUUUUCUUCUAAAAUACUAUCGUCAUCGAGGAACGGAUUUGUGUUUUGACGAUCCGCCAUUUUCCGAUCACGUGGGUAUUAAGGAUAUUCAGUAUUUUUUUAAAUUACAUCCUUAAAAUUAAACAAAAAGGAUUUU
rnacentral:lncRNA from 1 species